rnacentral:rRNA from 1 species
CCCUUAUCAUUAGUUGCUACGCAAGGGCACUCUAAUGAGACUGCCGGUGACAAACCGGAGGAAGGUGGGGAUGACGUCAAGUCCUCAUGGCCCUUAUGGGUAGGGCUUCACACGUCAUACAAUGGUCGGUACAGAGGGUUGCCAAGCCGCGAGGCGGAGCCAAUCCCACAAAGCCGAUCGUAGUCCGGAUUGUUCUCUGCAACUCGAGAGCAUGAAGUCGGAAUCGCUAGUAAUCGCAGGUCAGCAUACUGCGGCGAAUACGUUCCCGGGUCUU